rnacentral:lncRNA from 1 species
GCUGAUUUAUGUAUUUAUUUUAUAGGGAAAGGUUAUUUUUGUAAACUACAAUUUAUUUAUAACCGAAAAUUUAUAUGGAAAGAUACACCAUAUCACUUUAAUUACAUUAAAAGAUAUGCUUCAAUCCUAAAUCUAAUCAUUCACGCUAUUCUUGCCUUUUUAUUUUUUUAUUUUUUUUUUACGAUUUUUUCUCCUAAUUUUAGUUUGUUUUGCUGGUGAAUUCAAUAAUUUAUUUUCUUUUCAAUUAUUUUACAAUAAUUACGUGGUUAAAUUUUUAUGUCAGCAAGUAAAAUUCAAAAUUUUUAUUUAUAUGUUCGUAAUUUUAUUACCCUUGUUCAAAAUGUUCUAUGUUAAAUAUUUCUGUAUCUGUAUUCGAAAUAAUUUACGCCUGUUCGUAAAUUAUUUUACGUCUGUUCGAAAUAUUUUUUUAUGCCUGUUCAAAU